GAUGAACGCUGGCGGCGUGCCUAAUACAUGCAAGUAGAACGCUGAAGGAGGAGCUUGCUCUUCUGGAUGAGUUGCGAACGGGUGAGUAACGCGUAGGUAACCUGCCUGGUAGCGGGGGAUAACUAUUGGAAACGAUAGCUAAUACCGCAUGACAACAGUUAUUGCAUGAUAACUGUUUAAAAGGGGCAACUGCUCCACUACCAGAUGGACCUGCGUUGUAUUAGCUAGUUGGUGAGGUAACGGCUCACCAAGGCGACGAUACAUAGCCGACCUGAGAGGGGGGUCGGCCACACUGGGACUGAGACACGGCCCAGACUCCUACGGGAGGCAGCAGUAGGGAAUCUUCGGCAAUAGACGGAAGUCUGACCGAGCAACGCCGCGUGAGUGAAGAAGGUUUUCGGAUCGUAAAGCUCUGUUGUAAGAGAAGAACGAGUGUGAGAGUGGAAAGUUCACACUGUGACGGUAUCUUACCAGAAAGGGACGGCUAACUACGUG
rnacentral:rRNA from 1 species